GGUCGGUUAGCCAACCGUGAAAUAAUUAUUGUGUCCCCACUAGCUGUGUAACACUUUUCAGUUUGUAGCUAUCUGGUACAUGAAGACUUCUUUUAGAAAUAUUCAUUUUGGGUAUGCAUAUAGUUACUUUUCAACUGCUUUCAAAUGUUUAUAGCGACUGUGGCUACAGCUCUCAAGACAUGUUGAUGCUGUGUUGUUAGCUUCAUGUUACACAUGCUAAUUUUUGAUACUCUAGCCCUAAAUAAUUUAGAAUAUGCCUGUUAAAUAUCUUUAGAAGAAAGUAACACAAAGCUAAUAUUCAGCAUAUUUUCACAUUUUCCCAGUUUCCUUCAAAUUGGCAAUGUUUGAUUAAUAUUUAUGUCACUUGGGAGUAGCAAUGCUUCAGAUGUAUUUUUGUCUGAAUUUUUGGCAAUAGACCGAUUCUGCUCCUAACAGGUGAAUCCAGAAGUCUAGUUCCUUCAUCUUCCACUGUUUGUGCCAGUGAGCAGUACUGCUGUACUACAAAAAAUGCUGUCAUUCUAUCUCACUGUGAAUGAGUAGUCUAAAUCCCCCAUCUACCAUGGAUUAGAACAUUCAUGUUGGUAAGAGUGAGACAACUCCUAUGUUUAGAAUAGAAAUUUUUUUGAAAGAAAUAUCAACAGGUGAGACUUUGAAAUAUAUUCUUCUAUAAAAGAAAUAAAAAAGAUUUCCUUUCUUAAUUUUAUAGUUUGAUGAUGAUUAUCUUAUAUGAAGAUGUGUUCUUGCUCUUUUGUGAGAUUAUUUAAAUUAUGUUUCCCCUUUUGAUUUUUUUUCCCACCAUAUUCGCUAAGUUCUCUAACUUACAUGAAAUUUGGCACUUUAGACUGUUCUUUUUCUCACAAAAAAUUUAAUAAAAUUCUGUGUAUGUACAAA
rnacentral:lncRNA from 1 species